ACAAUGGUACUCCUGUUCAGUCACAGUCCGAGCGUGAUAGCGUUUUCCAACGCAAAGCCGUCGCAGGCAAUGAGAGCAGCCGACAGAGAACCUGCCGGGGGUGAAAUUCCCGUGG
ncrna:unclassified sequences pemK RNA